UACAGAGGGUGCAAGCGUUAAUCGGAAUUACUGGGCGUAAAGCGUGCGCAGGCGGUUCGUUGUGUCGGUGGUGAAAGCCCCGGGCUUAACCUGGGAAUGGCCAUGGAAACUGGCGAACUGGAGUGUGGCAGAGGGGGGUGGAAUUCCGCGGUGUAGCAGUGAAAUGCGUAGAGAUCAUGAGGAAGACCAGUGGCGAAGGCGGGUCUCUGGACCGAGACUGACGCUGAGGCGCGAAAGCGUGGGGAGCAAACAGG
rnacentral:rRNA from 1 species